UGGGGAAUCUUGCACAAUGGGGGCAACCCUGAUGCAGCGACGCCGCGUGAGCGAUGAAGCCCUUCGGGGCGUAAAGCUCUUUCGACCGGAACGAUAAUGACGGUACCGGGAGAAGAAGCUGCGGCUAACUACGUGCCAGCAGCCGCGGUAAUACGUAGGCAGCAAGCGUUGUUCGGAGUUACUGGGCGUAAAGAGUGCGUAGGCGGUUUUCUAAGUUCGGUGUGAAAUCUCCCGGCUUAACUGGGAGGGUGCGCCGAAGACUGGGAAGCUGGAGUGUGGGAAAGGCAGGCGGAAUUCCUGGUGUAGCGGUGAAAUGCGUAGAUAUCAGGAGGAACACCGGAGGUGUAGACGGCUUGCUAGACCAUAACUGACGCUGAGGCACGAAAGCGUGGGUAGCAAACA
rnacentral:rRNA from 1 species